UAACGAAUCUUCCGCAAUGCGCGAAAGCGUGACGGAGCAAUGCCGCGUGCAGGAUGAAGCCCCUCGGGGUGUAAACUGCUGUCAGGGGUUAGCAACACAAUGAGCAGCCCCAAAGGAAGAGACGACUAACUCUGUG
rnacentral:rRNA from 1 species